UAUAAAUAAUUCUACUUUGAAACUGCGAAUGGCUCAUUAUAUCAGUUAUAGUUUAUUAGAAAUAAUUUACUACUUGGAUAACCGUAGUAAUUCUAGGGCUAAUACAUGAGUAAAUCCUCGACUUUGAAGAGGUGUGUUUAUUAGUAUGAAAACCAUAUGCUUUUGCAUAAUAGUGAGUAAUAAUAACCUUUCAUAUCGUAUGUUGUAAUAACGAUAGUUCUUUCAAGUUUCUGCCCUAUCAGCUUUCGAUGGUAGUGCAUUGGACUACCAUGGCAGUAACGGGUAACGAAGAAUUUGGGUUCGAUUUCGGAGAGGGAGCCUGAAAGAUGGCUACCACAUCCAAGGAAGGCAGCAGGCGCGUAAAUUACCCAAUCCUGACAUAGGGAGGUAGUGACAAUAAAUCACAAUGCGGGACUUUUAGUUUUGCAAUUGGAUUGAGAACAAUGUAAAAGAGUUAUCGAUAAACAAUUGGAGGGCAAGUCUGGUGCCAGCAGCCGCGGUAAUUCCAGCUCCAAUAGCGUAUAUUAACGUUGUUGCAG
rnacentral:rRNA from 1 species